rnacentral:lncRNA from 1 species
UUUCUUCUCGACUAACCCCGACAAAUAAUGAAAAUCGUGUGAAACGAAAGGGUGAAACAACAACUCAACAUGUUGGAUCACCAAAGACACCUUUGGAAGGUCAUUCUCCAAACGCACCCAAUGAAAAUGGAUCGUCGUUCCUACCACAUUCUCCAUCAUCGUCACCUGGUCAAGAAGAAAGUGUGGAGAGUCCUUCAGGUUCCGCUAGGGAAACACCUACAAACGAAGCAAGUUUCAUUGGAAGAUCACCAAAUAAUAAUGAAGAUCAUUUGAAAAUAUCAAGUGAGGCUCCUUCGUCAACACCUACAAUUGGUAAAUCAAUUCCAUCGUUGGAACCACAACAAGAAGACAUGGCAUCUCCACAAACAGGAUCUCCUCGACUAACACCGACAGAUAAUGAAAAUCAUGUGAAACGAAAGGGUCAAACAACAACGCAACAUGUUGGAUCACCAAAGACACCUUUGGAAGGUCAUUCUCCAAACGCACCCAAUGAAAAUGGAUUGUCGUUCCUACCACAUUCUCCAUCAUCGUCACCUGGUCAAGAAGAAAGUGUGGAGAGUCCUUCAGGUUCCGCUAGGGAAACACCAACAAACGAAGCAAGUUUCAUUGGAAGAUCACCAAAUAAUGAAGAUCAUUUGAAAACAUCAAGUGGGGCUCCUUCGUCAACACCUACAAUUGGAAAAUCAAUUCCAUCGUUGGAACCACAACAAGAAGACAUGGCAUCUCCUCAACCAGUUUCUUCUCGACUAACACCGACAAAUAAUGAAAAUCGUGUGAAACGAAAGGGUGAAACAACAACUCAACAUGUUGGAUCACCAAAUUCACCUUUGGAAGGUCAUUCUCCAAACGCACCCAAUGAAAAUGGUUCGUCGUUCCAACCACAUUCUCCAUCAUCGUCACCUGGUCAAGAAGAAAGUGUGGAGAGUCCUUUAGGUUCCGCUAGGGAAACACCUACAAACGAAGCAAGUUUCAUUGGAAGAUCACCAAAUAAUGAAGAUCAUUUGAAAACAUCAAGUGGGGCUCCUUCGUCAACACCUACAAUUGGUAAAUCAAUUCCAUCGUUAGAACCACAACAAGAAGACAUGGCAUCUCCACAAACAGGAUCUCCUCGACUAACACCGACAGAUAAUAAAAAUCAUGUGAAACGAAAGGGUCAAACAACAACGCAACAUGUUAGAUCACCAAAUUCACCUUUGGAAGGUCAUUCUCCAAACGCACCCAAUGAAAAUGGUUCGUCGUUCCUACCACAUUCACCAUCAUCGUCACCUGGUCAAGAAGAAAGUGUGGAGAGUCCUUCAGGUUCCGCUAGGGAAACACCUACAAACGAAGCAAGUUUCAUUGGAAGAUCACCAAAUAAUAAUGAAGAUCAUUUGAAAACAUCAAGUGAGGCUCCUUCGUCAACACCUACAAUUGGUAAAUCAAUUCCAUCGUUGGAACCACAACAAGAAGACAUGGCAUCUCCACAAACAGGAUCUCCUCGACUAACACCGACAGAUAAUAAAAAUCAUGUGAAACGAAAGGGUCAAACAACAACGCAACAUGUUAGAUCACCAAAUUCACCUUUGGAAGGUCAUUCUCCAAACGCACCCAAUGAAAAUGGUUCGUCGUUCCUACCACAUUCUCCACCAUCGUCACCUGAUCAUGAAGAAAUUGUGGAGAGUCCUUCAGGUUCUGCUAGGGAAACACCUACAAACGAAGCAAGUUUCAUUAGAAGAUCACCAAAUAAUGAAGAUCAUUUGAAAACAUCAAGUGGGGCUCCUUCGUCAACACCUACAAUUGGUAAAUCAAUUCCAUCGUUGGAACCAAAACAAGAAGACAUGGCAUCUCCUCAAACAGGAUCUCCUCUGCCAACACCGACAAAUAAAGAAAAACGUGUGAAACGAAAGGGUCAAACGACAACGCAACAUGUUGGAUCACGAAAUUCACCUUUGGAAGGUGAUUCUCCAAACGCACCCAAUGAAAAUGGUUCGUCGUUUCAACCACAUUCUCCAUCAUCGUCAC